rnacentral:rRNA from 1 species
UACGUAGGGUGCAAGCGUUGUCCGGAAUUAUUGGGCGUAAAGAGCUCGUAGGCGGUUUGUUGCGUCGGCUGUGAAAUCCCGAGGCUCAACCUCGGGUCUGCAGUCGAUACGAGCAAACUAGAGUGUUGCAGGGGAGACUGGAAUUCCUGGUGUAGCGGUGAAAUGCGCAGAUAUCAGGAGGAACACCGGUGGCGAAGGCGGGUCUCUGGGCCGAUACUGACGCUGAGGAGCGAAAGCGUGGGAGCAAACAGG